rnacentral:tRNA from 1 species
UUUAAACUUAGAAUUAUAAUUUGUGGUAUUAUAGGUGUAGUAAUUUGCUCUAAAUU